rnacentral:rRNA from 1 species
UACGGGGGGGGCAAGCGUUGUUCGGAAUUACUGGGCGUAAAGGGCUCGUAGGUGGCCAACUAAGUCAGACGUGAAAUCCCUCGGCUUAACCGGGGAACUGCGUCUGAUACUGGAUGGCUUGAGUUUGGGAGAGGGACGCGGAAUUCCAGGUGUAGCGGUGAAAUGCGUAGAUAUCUGGAGGAACACCGGUGGCGAAGGCGGCAUCCUGGACCAACACUGACACUGAGGAGCGAAAGCCAGGGGAGCAAACGGG